CAGUCUCACUCUGUCACCCAGGCUGGAGUGCAGUGGUACAAUCUUGGCUCACUGCAACCUCCACCUCCCUGGUUCAAGCAAUUUUCCUGCCUCAGCCUCUGGAGUAGCUGGGACUACAGAUGCAUGCUGCCAUGCCUGGCUAAUUUUUUUGUAUUUUAGUAGAGACGGGGUUUCACCAUAUUGCCCAGGCUGGUCUCGAACUCCUGAGCUCAGGCAACCUGCCAGCCUUGGCCUUCCAAAGUGAAAUUAUAUACCUUUGAUGUGGACAAUUUGUUAUAUCAAUUAUAACACAAUAAAGCUAUUUAGAAAAAAAGUGGUAAACAUUUCCCAGUUCUUAUUUCUAAAGUGAUAAAUCCUGAUAAAUACCCUCAAAUGAAAGUGCUUAGGAGUCCUCAAUUUUAAGAGUAAAAGGUCUUCAAACUAAAAAAUUUGAGAACUGCUGCCCUGGGGGAUAGAGAUCCUGACUUUUCAUCUUCCUCGGCAUCAGCAGCACCCAACCCAACACUGAGCGCACAGCAGGUCUGCAGUGGGCAUCAGCAGCACCCAACCCAACACUGAGCGCACAGCAGGUCUGCAGUGGGCAUCAGCAGCACCCAACCCAACACUGAGCGCACAGCAGGUCUGCAGUGGGCAUCAGCAGCACCCAACCCAACACUGAGCGCACAGCAGGUCUGCAGUGGGCAUCAGCAGCACCCAACCCAACACUGAGCGCACAGCAGGUCUGCAGUGGGCAUCAGCAGCACCCAACCCAACACUGAGCGCCACAGCAGGUCUGCAGUGGGCAUCAGCAGCACCCACCCACACUGAGCGCACAGCAGGUCUGCAGUGGGCAUCAGCAGCACCCAACCCAACACUGAGCGCACAGCAGGUCUGCAGUGGGCAUCUGCAGAGUGGCUGGAUGGAAACACACAGCAGUUCGAUCAUUAUGUCUGCUUCACUGGUUGGGGACGUGUUUUUGAAGAGGGGAGAACACUCCUCUCUUAAAGAAGGUACACUCUUUGAAGCUAUUUCCCCUGAGUUCCAGCCCUCCUGGAGGAUAAACUGUGGGCCUGGUUUCGGGAAAGUUAUCCUCACUGCUUCUUCAGGACAGAUGGACUCUGCUACAGCAAAGCCAGAUCCCCUGGGCAGGCCAACACAAGGGUGCCAUAUGCUGGUUGUGGAGGCUUUAAGGGAUACCAAGACCCCAAAAGAAAAGAUACCUGAGCAAACCAUCCCAUGACCUGGGAGCCUUGAGACUUUCCAAAUGUCCUCUCCGACCUCUUUGGGAGAGCAGCUCAUCUUGGCGUCCCCUCAAACAAGGGCCCAACUCCUGAACAGAGGGUUCCAGGGCUGAGGCUUGCCUGGCCCAAGAAAAACAGGCAGGAGCAGUGGGCGUGUUGCCUCAGAUUGUAAAGUGCUCCCAGAUAAGCCGGCACCUAACAAAGAGGGCCUUAUGCUCCACCAGGAGCACAGCCUUUGACAUUCACUGCUUUUGUACAGGCUAAAAGUGGGUUGGACACUAGAAGCCUCUAUGAUUACUACAAGAUCAUGUCCUUUAAACUAACUGGCUUCUGGGCCACAGAUUUGGAUGGCAAAUCGUCUGCCCUGAGUGAACUCAUAACCCUGGGAGGAGACAGAGAGCCCUUCUCCAUGUCCCCUUCUCUUUUCUAGAUUGUAUCACCGUGUGUCUCUCUUAAAACCUGGAGAACAUCCAUAAGUGGUAGGCCCCUGUGCUCCUGAUUUCCUAAAGCCCCAGAUUGGUGGACUAUGCAGCCCAGAGCACUCCGACCUACCCCAGCUCCCCAGCAGUCAGCACCCCACAGCUGUCUAGGCUCAGUGAGUGCUUCCUGGCACAUGUCCACACUGGACCUCUGAGCUGUGCUAACAGUAUGUUCACUGGGGCCCAGGGGCUUAGGGCAGCCCCAUCCAGACUUCUCCAGGACAAAGGAGGGGUCCAUAGGAAGGGGAGAGUUGGCUCCAUGGAAACCAUCGUACCCGUACCCAGGGUGAUAGUCAGAAAAAGAAAACCAAAGCAAGUCAAGCUGUGAACGCAGGUCUCUCUUCUCCUGCAGAUCCAGCUACACGUCCCCUUGAUUCAGAUGCCAGCUGGCGGCAGAGAGGUUAGUAGACAAACCCUUGCCAAGGGGACUGAGAAGAAAUGCCAGGGUCCCGGGUUCAGGAGGAAGGACUGAGGUGAAGGGAGAGGGUGGCGAGAGUAAAAGAAUAGACAAAGAAAACAAGAGCUGCAAGUUACUAGGGGAAAGCCACUCUGCUGACGGGCCAUGGAUCCCAAAGUGUGCUCUCGGACAAGCAGCAGCAGCAUGCGGACACUUGUUAGAAAUGUACGUCUUCAGACCUCAAUGCAGACCUGCUGAAUCAGAGUCGGGCUGAGCCAGGACAUGGGCAGUGGUCUGCCGCCCUUUACUCACUGGUUUUGCCUGCAGAGAUUUAAAACCCAAACAGUAACACCUGAGUCUCGUCCCAGAGAUUCUGAUUUAAUUGAUUGAUUGGAUUGAUCUGGGGUACAGCCUGGGCAUCAGAAUUUCAAGCCUGCUAAAGUGUCAGGUACUUGGGAAGCUUCUGAAAAGGACCAUUGCUGGGCCCUCCCCCGAGACUUGAGGAAUCAGAAGCUUCAGGAGGCACUGAGCAUUUCCAGUUCUAGAAAGUAUCUUCCACCCAUGUGAUUCCAAGGUACUCACUGCUUUUGCAAACCUUCGGAAUUUGUUUCCAAGAUUGGUUCUUCCCAGCCUUGCCAAACAGGCCCAAGUUUCUAACAUAGCCCUUGAACCCAUUCAACCAACAAGACAUUCACUCAGUGAUCAACAAAUGUCACCUUCCCUGCCUACUGUGUCCCGUGCAGACUUCUCUAAAAAUACAAAAAUAAGCCGUAUAAAUCUGUAAGUUGGCCACAUUCUAUAAUGAAAGUGUGUGGGGAUGCAGAAAAUAAGAAAGAGAAGAAAGGGAGAUGGAUAAGGAAGAAUUAGAGAGGUACGUUCUUUUUCAAUACAUGGGGAAAAUAAAAUAAGGUGAGUCAGUCAGGAAUCUCUUUGGAAAUACCCAAGAAGGUCUGCCUACAAGAAUAAUAAGUGUGUUUCCCUUCCCACGCCAUCCCUACCCCACUUAUUCCUGGGGAGGUUAAACAAACAAUUUGUUUUGUCUUUUGAAAAGGGGUGUAGAAAUCUAUCACCAGGGAAAAAAAAAAUUAAGUAGCAGUAAGCCAGCUGAGAUGCUUCCAAUAAAGAUAGAGGCCAGAAACAGAGGAGACAAGAAUCGAGAUGAGGGUGAUGAUAGAGAUUAACCUGUGAGUAACCUGCCAACUCUGGCUGCCGAGGCCAGCAGGGUGAGGCCCGAGAAGCAAGAGCCACUGCCAGGGCAGGACUGGCUCCUUGAACCACGCUGGAAGCACUGUUC
rnacentral:lncRNA from 1 species